GACGAACGCUGGCGGCGUGCCUAAUACAUGCAAGUAGAACGCUGAAGGAGGAGCUUGCCCUUCUGGAUGAGUUGCGAACGGGUGAGUAACGCGUAGGUAACCUGCCUGGUAGCGGGGGAUAACUAUUGGAAACGAUAGCUAAUACCGCAUAACAGUAGAUGUUGCAUGACAUUUACUUAAAAGGUGCAAUUGCAUCACUACCAGAUGGACCUGCGUUGUAUUAGCUAGUUGGUGGGGUAACGGCUCACCAAGGCGACGAUACAUAGCCGACCUGAGAGGGGGAUCGGCCACACUGGGACUGAGACACGGCCCAGACUCCUACGGGAGGCAGCAGUAGGGAAUCUUCGGCAAUGGACGGAAGUCUGACCGAGCAACGCCGCGUGAGUGAAGAAGGUUUUCGGAUCGUAAAGCUCUGUUGUAAGAGAAGAACGAGUGUGAGAGUGGAAAGUUCACACUGUGACGGUAUCUUACCAGAAAGGGACGGCUAACUACGUG
rnacentral:rRNA from 1 species